UGAGCCACGACGGGAACUCCUGUGCGUAUUUUUUUUAAGUUGAGGCCUGAAAGAGCUGUGUGUUUCUUGCUACAGGCACAUUAUUUUCCUACUGGAUAUAUGCGGGUGGAGGACAGAGUUGCAGGAGCAGCCUAAUUAUGCAGAGUUCCUCCCUCAUUCUCCCGGUGGUUAUUCAGUUGCAAAAUGUUGCUGGUCUGAGAAGACAGGAAGGGGGAGCCUGAGGAGGCCGUGGCCUUAAGCUAAGGCUACUGUUGUCCUUCUGUCAGCCUGUGGUGUGACUGGCAGUGAGGAAAAAAAAUGUGUACAGGAGAGAAGGGAGCGGCCCGAAAGCUCUGUUUUGGAGAAUGAUCCAACUGGGUCGAGGUUCCUCCGCCACAAUUCCUAGCAAAGUUUUCCCGGUAUCUGGACCCAAAAUCACGGCAACGCGUAGGGAGAAUCGAAGGCGGGACUGGGAGAGGUGCCUCCGAUGCCUGCCCAGGACGGGCUGUGUCCCUGCAGAUGGGAAGACACUCUUCACCCAACAGCCCAUUUCUAUCCAGCGCCUGGCACAGAAAUACACUUAGUAGAGUUCACUGCAUUGUGGGAUGCAAGGGCAGAGAGGUGGAAAGACAGCGGAAGAAGCAAGAGGCAGGGCCAAGAGCCUCCGAGGUCACUGAAGAAAGUCUGGGCUUGGGAUCCAGGAGGGCCCUCGCGUGACUCCUCGAAAACCUCGUAGAUUUGUGGGCAGAAAGUCAAAGAGAAGACCCUGGGGCGCUCGUGGAUUUCAAACUGAAAAAUAGCGAAGGGAUUUGGCAGAUUUAACGGUUCAAGAGCGAGAUCGUCAGGGAAGCGGAUCUACGGCGUACGUGCCAGACUAAAGGAAGGGAGGUGAACUGUAUUCCCCUCCGGCAGCUAAAGACGUUGCCCGGGGAAACGGGAAGGAGGCGGGCCAGCCGAACUUUGACAGGGGCCACAGCAGGGGCGGGACUCUGCUUCUGACUGGCUAUAUACCCCAAGAGGGGUGUGGCUCACCUAUGACUGACAGGCCUCUGGGGCGGGGCUGGCUUGAGACAGACAAGCUUAACUGGAAGGAAAGGGGGCUUGGUUUUGACUCGCAGGGCACAGGUCAGGGCGGGACUCUAGGCCAGUCUGACUGACAGGAGUCCGCAGGGCCUCAGCUAAAGCUGGAGCAAACCAUCUGUCCUUAAGAUGCCGGCUUCAUUAGCCCCAGUGACCCAGAAAAAGAGCAGGAUAUACCCUCCCUAUGACCGGGGAAUCAAACCUACGCCACACAGCAGCAACCAGAGCCACGGUGGUGAGAAUGCGGGAGCCUCAACCCACUAGGCCAUCAGAGAACUCCCAAGAGUGGUAAUCUUAAAAAAAAAAGAAAAAAAAAAUGGGAAUCUUCACGUAUACUCCUUCAGCUAUAAAACCCUCAAGAUUGGAAAGUCCUCAGUGCUUUAGUAAAAGGCCUGUGUACACUU